rnacentral:rRNA from 1 species
UGAAAAGAACUUUGAAGAGAGAGUUAAAAAGGACGUGAAACCACUGGCAGGUAAACGGGUAGAACCACGAAGUGUGCCCGCCGGCCGAUUCAAUCAUUGCCAUGCUCUGGCUGUGCUGGUGUUGUGUCUCUCCGGAGGUUGCACUAGUGCCGUGUGCAGAGUAUGGUGUUGGUGCAUUUCGUGCCGGUGGUGCUAAUGCCACGUCCGACUAGGUGGUUGGGAUGGCCGUAGUGUGUGACUUGUUGAAGGUGGCAGUGGAAGGCUUCGGCUUUCGGCUGUGUUAUAGCUUCGAGUCCGUGCCGUCGCCUAACGUGCUGGUCGGUGAAAGUAUUCCUAUUGGAAUCUUGCUUGAAAUGGUUAUGGGUGCUGUGUGGUGUCGCGGCGGCUACGCUUUGUCGUACUUUUGGCGUCUUCGGGCGUGGAAAGACGGUGAUGUCGUUGGCGGUCUAGGCAUUGCGUGCAUGACGUGACUGUGCAAACGGUGGCACGAGUAGGUCGGUCUCUACCCGACCCGUCUUGAAACACGGACCAAGGAGCCUAUCAUGUACGCGAGUCGCUCAGUCUUGUUUAGGCUUGGGAGGCGAAAUGAAAGUAAACGUUACGAGGCUCGCAAGGGCCGCAGUAGCAGCCCGCCGGUUUUGUUUAUUGGCAAUUUGGCGGAGCUGGAGCGUACACGAUGGUACCCGAAAGAUGGUGAACUAUGCCUGGGCAAGACGAAGCCAGAGGAAACUCUGGUGGAGGUCUGCAGCGGUUCUGACGUGCAAAUCGAUCGUCAGACCUGGGUAUAGGGGCGAAAGACUAAUCGAACCAUC